UACGAGGGGGGCGAGCGUUGUUCGGAAUUAUUGGGCGUAAAGGGUGCGUAGGCGGUUUGGUAAGUCUUGUGUGAAAUCUACAGGCUCAACUUGUAGUCUGCACGAGAAACUGACGAGCUAGAGUAUGGUAGAGGGUGGUGGAAUUUCCUGUGUAGCGGUGAAAUGCGUAGAUAUAGGAAGGAACACCAGUGGCGAAGGCGACCACCUGGACUGAUACUGACACUGAGGUGCGAAAGCGUGGGGAGCAAACAGG
rnacentral:rRNA from 1 species